AACGAACGCUGGCGGCAUGCCUAACACAUGCAAGUCGAACGAGACCUUCGGGUCUAGUGGCGCACGGGUGCGUAACGCGUGGGAACCUGCCCUUGGGUUCGGAAUACCUCCCCGAAGGGGGUGCUAAUGCAGGUUAGGUUUUUGGCCCAAAGAUUUUUCGCCUUGGGAUGGGGCCGUGUUGGAUUAGCGCGUUGGUAGGGUAACAGCCUACCAAGGAGCCGAUUCGUAGCUGGUUUGGGAGGAUGAUCAGCCACGCUGGGACUGAGACACGGCCCAGACUCCUACGGGAGGCAGCAGUAGGGAAUAUUGGACAAUGGGGGAAAGCCUGAUCAAGCAAUGCCGCGGGAGUGAUGAAGGCCUUAGGGUUGUAAAGCUCUUUUACCCGGGAUGAUAAUGACAGUACCGGGAGAAGAAGCACCGGCUAACUCCGUG
rnacentral:rRNA from 1 species